rnacentral:rRNA from 15 species
GGGUUGUGAGGUUAAGCGACUAAGCGUACACGGUGGAUGCCCUGGCAGUCAGAGGCGAUGAAGGACGUGCUAAUCUGCGAUAAGCGUCGGUAAGGUGAUAUGAACCGUUAUAACCGGCGAUUUCCGAAUGGGGAAACCCAGUGUGUUUCGACACACUAUCAUUAACUGAAUCCAUAGGUUAAUGAGGCGAACCGGGGGAACUGAAACAUCUAAGUACCCCGAGGAAAAGAAAUCAACCGAGAUUCCCCCAGUAGCGGCGAGCGAACGGGGAGGAGCCCAGAGCCUGAAUCAGUGUGUGUGUUAGUGGAAGCGUCUGGAAAGGCGCGCGAUACAGGGUGACAGCCCCGUACACAAAAAUGCACAUGCUGUGAGCUCGAUGAGUAGGGCGGGACACGUGGUAUCCUGUCUGAAUAUGGGGGGACCAUCCUCCAAGGCUAAAUACUCCUGACUGACCGAUAGUGAACCAGUACCGUGAGGGAAAGGCGAAAAGAACCCCGGCGAGGGGAGUGAAAAAGAACCUGAAACCGUGUACGUACAAGCAGUGGGAGCACAGAGCAAUCUGUGUGACUGCGUACCUUUUGUAUAAUGGGUCAGCGACUUAUAUUCUGUAGCAAGGUUAACCGAAUAGGGGAGCCGAAGGGAAACCGAGUCUUAACUGGGCGUUAAGUUGCAGGGUAUAGACCCGAAACCCGGUGAUCUAGCCAUGGGCAGGUUGAAGGUUGGGUAACACUAACUGGAGGACCGAACCGACUAAUGUUGAAAAAUUAGCGGAUGACUUGUGGCUGGGGGUGAAAGGCCAAUCAAACCGGGAGAUAGCUGGUUCUCCCCGAAAGCUAUUUAGGUAGCGCCUCGUGAAUUCAUCUCCGGGGGUAGAGCACUGUUUCGGCAAGGGGGUCAUCCCGACUUACCAACCCGAUGCAAACUGCGAAUACCGGAGAAUGUUAUCACGGGAGACACACGGCGGGUGCUAACGUCCGUCGUGAAGAGGGAAACAACCCAGACCGCCAGCUAAGGUCCCAAAGUCAUGGUUAAGUGGGAAACGAUGUGGGAAGGCCCAGACAGCCAGGAUGUUGGCUUAGAAGCAGCCAUCAUUUAAAGAAAGCGUAAUAGCUCACUGGUCGAGUCGGCCUGCGCGGAAGAUGUAACGGGGCUAAACCAUGCACCGAAGCUGCGGCAGCGACACUGUGUGUUGUUGGGUAGGGGAGCGUUCUGUAAGCCUGUGAAGGUGUGCUGUGAGGCAUGCUGGAGGUAUCAGAAGUGCGAAUGCUGACAUAAGUAACGAUAAAGCGGGUGAAAAGCCCGCUCGCCGGAAGACCAAGGGUUCCUGUCCAACGUUAAUCGGGGCAGGGUGAGUCGACCCCUAAGGCGAGGCCGAAAGGCGUAGUCGAUGGGAAACAGGUUAAUAUUCCUGUACUUGGUGUUACUGCGAAGGGGGGACGGAGAAGGCUAUGUUGGCCGGGCGACGGUUGUCCCGGUUUAAGCGUGUAGGCUGGUUUUCCAGGCAAAUCCGGAAAAUCAAGGCUGAGGCGUGAUGACGAGGCACUACGGUGCUGAAGCAACAAAUGCCCUGCUUCCAGGAAAAGCCUCUAAGCAUCAGGUAACAUCAAAUCGUACCCCAAACCGACACAGGUGGUCAGGUAGAGAAUACCAAGGCGCUUGAGAGAACUCGGGUGAAGGAACUAGGCAAAAUGGUGCCGUAACUUCGGGAGAAGGCACGCUGAUAUGUAGGUGAAGUCCCUCGCGGAUGGAGCUGAAAUCAGUCGAAGAUACCAGCUGGCUGCAACUGUUUAUUAAAAACACAGCACUGUGCAAACACGAAAGUGGACGUAUACGGUGUGACGCCUGCCCGGUGCCGGAAGGUUAAUUGAUGGGGUCAGCGCAAGCGAAGCUCUUGAUCGAAGCCCCGGUAAACGGCGGCCGUAACUAUAACGGUCCUAAGGUAGCGAAAUUCCUUGUCGGGUAAGUUCCGACCUGCACGAAUGGCGUAAUGAUGGCCAGGCUGUCUCCACCCGAGACUCAGUGAAAUUGAACUCGCUGUGAAGAUGCAGUGUACCCGCGGCAAGACGGAAAGACCCCGUGAACCUUUACUAUAGCUUGACACUGAACAUUGAGCCUUGAUGUGUAGGAUAGGUGGGAGGCUUUGAAGUGUGGACGCCAGUCUGCAUGGAGCCGACCUUGAAAUACCACCCUUUAAUGUUUGAUGUUCUAACGUGGACCCGUGAUCCGGGUUGCGGACAGUGUCUGGUGGGUAGUUUGACUGGGGCGGUCUCCUCCUAAAGAGUAACGGAGGAGCACGAAGGUUGGCUAAUCCUGGUCGGACAUCAGGAGGUUAGUGCAAUGGCAUAAGCCAGCUUGACUGCGAGCGUGACGGCGCGAGCAGGUGCGAAAGCAGGUCAUAGUGAUCCGGUGGUUCUGAAUGGAAGGGCCAUCGCUCAACGGAUAAAAGGUACUCCGGGGAUAACAGGCUGAUACCGCCCAAGAGUUCAUAUCGACGGCGGUGUUUGGCACCUCGAUGUCGGCUCAUCACAUCCUGGGGCUGAAGUAGGUCCCAAGGGUAUGGCUGUUCGCCAUUUAAAGUGGUACGCGAGCUGGGUUUAGAACGUCGUGAGACAGUUCGGUCCCUAUCUGCCGUGGGCGCUGGAGAACUGAGGGGGGCUGCUCCUAGUACGAGAGGACCGGAGUGGACGCAUCACUGGUGUUCGGGUUGUCAUGCCAAUGGCACUGCCCGGUAGCUAAAUGCGGAAGAGAUAAGUGCUGAAAGCAUCUAAGCACGAAACUUGCCCCGAGAUGAGUUCUCCCUGACCCUUUAAGGGUCCUGAAGGAACGUUGAAGACGACGACGUUGAUAGGCCGGGUGUGUAAGCGCAGCGAUGCGUUGAGCUAACCGGUACUAAUGAACCGUGAGGCUUAACCUUACAACGCCGAAGGUGUUU